GUGCUCACGUGGGCAGCUCGUAUACUAAAACUGAAACCGUAAGGAGAUUAGUAUGGCCUCUGUGCGAGGAUGACAGGCAAAUUCCUGAAGCGUUCUAUAUUUAA
ensembl:snRNA U6 U6 spliceosomal RNA